rnacentral:rRNA from 1 species
AAGGCGGGUGGCGGGGUGCUAUACAUGCAAGUCGAACGCUUCUUUCCUCCCGAGUGCUUGCACUCAAUUGGAAAGAGGAGUGGCGGACGGGUGAGUAACACGUGGGUAACCUACCCAUCAGAGGGGGAUAACACUUGGAAACAGGUGCUAAUACCGCAUAACAGUUUAUGCCGCAUGGCAUAAGAGUGAAAGGCGCUUUCGGGUGUCGCUGAUGGAUGGACCCGCGGUGCAUUAGCUAGUUGGUGAGGUAACGGCUCACCAAGGCCACGAUGCAUAGCCGACCUGAGAGGGUGAUCGGCCACACUGGGACUGAGACACGGCCCAGACUCCUACGGGAGGCAGCAGUAGGGAAUCUUCGGCAAUGGACGAAAGUCUGACCGAGCAACGCCGCGUGAGUGAAGAAGGUUUUCGGAUCGUAAAACUCUGUUGUUAGAGAAGAACAAGGACGUUAGUAACUGAACGUCCCCUGACGGUAUCUAACCAGAAAGCCACGGCUAACUACGUGCCAGCAGCCGCGGUAAUACGUAGGUGGCAAGCGUUGUCCGGAUUUAUUGGGCGUAAAGCGAGCGCAGGCGGUUUCUUAAGUCUGAUGUGAAAGCCCCCGGCUCAACCGGGGAGGGUCAUUGGAAACUGGGAGACUUGAGUGCAGAAGAGGAGAGUGGAAUUCCAUGUGUAGCGGUGAAAUGCGUAGAUAUAUGGAGGAACACCAGUGGCGAAGGCGGCUCUCUGGUCUGUAACUGACGCUGAGGCUCGAAAGCGUGGGGAGCAAACAGGAUUAGAUACCCUGGUAGUCCACGCCGUAAACGAUGAGUGCUAAGUGUUGGAGGGUUUCCGCCCUUCAGUGCUGCAGCAAACGCAUUAAGCACUCCGCCUGGGGAGUACGACCGCAAGGUUGAAACUCAAAGGAAUUGACGGGGGCCCGCACAAGCGGUGGAGCAUGUGGGUUUAAUUCGAAGCAACGCGAGAACCUUACCAGGUCUUGACAUCCUUUGACCACUCUAGAGAUAGAGCUUUCCCUUCGGGGACAAGUGACAGGUGUGCAUGAUGUCGUCAGCUCGUGUCGUGAGAUGUUGGGUUAGUCCCGCACGAGCGCAACCCUUAUUUGUUAGUGCCAUCAUUUAGUUGGCACCUUCUAGCCGAGACUGCCGGGUGACAACCGGAAGAAGGUGGGAUGACGUCAAUCAUACAUGGUCCGCUCUAUGACCUGGCUACACACUGCUUCAAUGGGGAAGAUAUCACACAGAGUGUCUCUUGUGAUCACGCCGCGAGGAGAGAACAUACGGUCCCUGA